GUCAAGACAAUGGAUCCUUCUCAAAUUCUAUUUUAUUGCAAACAGGCUUUGUUCACUUAAAAAAAGAGUACUUCACACACACUAUGGUAUUUCCAGAUGAAUGGAGGAGAAAUACUAUACAUCAAAAAGACGAAACUACAACACACUGGUUGGACAAAGUCCUUUCCAGUGGAUGUUGCUGAGGUCUCGGAGCGAGGAGCCUUGUUGUACCUGGCAGUGUAGGAACCCUCAUCCUUCUUGGGGCAGUUGCAGCAGAGCAAACCCCCUCCAAUCAGCAGCAGGGCAGUGGCCCCCCAGCCCACGUAGAGCGCCCCCCCCAGCUCCCUCUUCUGAGCGCUUACCAGGAGCGGGUUGUAGAAGUCCUGGAUGAUGCUGUGGGCCGUCCAGCAGACAGGGAUCAGGCACAGAACUCCGGCAAUGAUGAACACCACCCCGGAUGCCACACCCACUUUAGCCUUGGCCGCCUCGUUAUCCACACAGUUGGUGCACUUGCCCCCGGCUACGGCUAGCAGAAUGGCAAUAAUGCCGGCGAGGAUGGCAAUGAUGGUCUGCGAGGUGACUAUGUUACUGCCGAUGAAGGCGGUGACCCUCCACAUGGGCAUGGCACAAACAAUGAUGGUCCCAAUCCAGCCUAUGAUCCCCAGGGCAGUGCCCAGCAUCUGUAGCCCAGCCGACACCAUCUUAGAUCCGAUUGGCGUUGGUUUGUCUGUGGGUCUGAGUGAUACUGGACAGCCUUUUGUCUUCCUUUCUGUGUGUUGUAGAGGUUCUUUGUCUUCUCUCAGUCUAAUCUGAAUACAGUGGGUGGUUGUGUUUCUGUGUGUGCUGCUCUAGGUCUGAG
rnacentral:lncRNA from 1 species